GCCAUAUCACAUUUAAAUACCGGUUCUCGUCCGAUCACAGAAGUUAAGCAACGUCGAGCCUGAUCAGUACUUCGAUGGGUGACUGCUUGAGAGAUCCAAGUGUUGCAAG